GGGAGUAACAUAAAUGCUCUCUCUACUCUGUCUGUCCUGUACAAUAUUUUUACUGGUCUUAGAUACAGUGUACUAUUUUCAUUUUAGAUAUAGUUUUUUAAGUUCACCCCAUAAAACACAAUAAUCCAUGCCCUGAAUUUCACAUAAUUUACUGAAAUGCUCUUUGUUUUUUCAAAGAGUGUAGAUCAUGGGCAAGUUCAGUCUCCUUUGUUAGAAAGUGUGUUGUCUUUUCAUUGAUUUUUUGUUGCCUCUCAUUGUGUAUCUUUUGUAUUAUAAUCUUUUUUAUCACUCAUUACAUAUAUUUUCAGGGUUUUUAUUUGUGUGUGUGUGUGUGUACAUGGACUGUUGGGGAUUAAACCGAGGGCUAUCAAGUUCUUACUACUGAGCUACUCUCCACCCCAAGAAAAUUCGUAUUGUAGACUGGGGUUUACUUAUUUGCUGAUGUAUUGAGUGCUGGGAUUGAAGCCAGGGACUUGAUCAUGCUUAUGUUGUCCUCAAAAAAAUGAAUUUCAAUGUGUGAGCAGCAUUUUGGAGGUGGGCAGGUGUUUUACUGGGUAAUAAACCUAGACGCACUUGACCACUGAGAACGUCCUCAGCCCUUCCUAUUUAUUAUGUACCUAUUUAUUUUUAUUUUUAUUUUGUAUAGUUGUAGAGGGGCAGAAUACCUUAUUUUUGUUAAUUUAUCUGUGGUGCUAA
rnacentral:lncRNA from 1 species